UAAAUUUAAAUUUAGUUUAAUAAAUUAAUUAUUAAAUUUAUUUAUAUAUAAAAUUAAAAAAAAAUACUUAUUUUAAAUAAAUAAAUCUUUAAUUUAAUAAAUAUAAUUAAAAUAUAUAAGUAAUUAUUAUUUAGAAAUUAUAUAAAAUAUAGGUUAAUUUUGUGCCAGCAUCAGCGGUUAAACAAAAUAUAUAAAUUAAUUUUAUUAAUUUAUUAUAAAAAUAAAACAAUAUAUUAAUAAUUAUAAUAAUAAUUUUUAGAUUAAAUAAAAAUUAUUAAUAAUAUUAUUAAAAUUAAUAAAUUUAAAAUAAUAAAAUAUUUAAAUAAACUAGGAUUAGAUACCCUAUUAUUAAUAAUGAAAUAAAAAUAAUUAAGUAAUAAAUUUAAAAUAUUAAAAUUUAAAAAUUAUGACGGUAUUAUAAUCUAAUUAGAGGAACUUGUAGCAUAAUUGAUACUCCACGAUAGGAUAAAUUUACUGUUAAAUAUUUUUGUAUGUUCGUUAUGAAAAAAUUUAUUAAUAAAUUAAAUUUUUUAACUUUAUUAUAAUAAUUUAUUUCAGAUCAAUAUAAAAUUUUAUAGUAAAAGUUUAAUGAGUUACUAUUUACUUUAAAUAAAUAUUAUUUAACUUUAAAAAUUUAAAUUUAAAUGAAUUUAAUAGUAAUAAAUAAAAAUAAUUAUUUAUGAAUUUAGUUUUAUAAUAUGUACAUAUUGCCCGUCACUUCUAGUUAAUAGAAUAAGUCGUAACAAAGUAAGUAUACUGGAAAGUGUACUUAGUAAUUA
rnacentral:ncRNA from 1 species